AGAGCACCGAGAGAGUGGUGGCCUGUGCCAGGCACUUUGUAUAAAUCAUGGCAGGUCAUAUCCAGAGCAAGUCACCCCCAUGAACAUCCCUACCCUCCAACAGGACACACUGAUUGCUAAAUGGAGCAGAGAGUGCAGAGCAGGGAGGCCAUUAAUCCCCAAGGCGACUGACUGGGAACCACAGGUAGAGUCCAAGGAGCAGAGUACACCUGUGUUUUGCUGGAGACGUGGUCCUUGAAAUCUGGAGUCACCUACAAGAUCUUCUGAGAAUUUCAGAUGGUUCCACCAGGGGCAAACUUGGUUACUCUUGGAAGGAAGCUGGUUUUAUGCAACUUCCCUGGAACCCGCAGGUUGAGAUAAUGGGUGCCAUGAAC